GACGAACCGGACGAACGUUAUUCGGCAUCAUUGGGCUUAAAGCGUGCGUCGGCGGCCUUGUAGGUGAGGUGUGAAAUCCCACGGCUCAACCGUGGAACUGCGCUUCAAACCACAAGGCUUGAGUGAGGCAGAGGUAAGCGGAACUGAUGGUGGAGCGGUGAAAUGCGUUGAUAUCAUCAGGAACACCGGUGGCGAAGGCGGCUUACUGGGCCUUGUCUGACGCUGAGGCACGAAAGCUUGGGGAGCAAACGGG
rnacentral:rRNA from 1 species